GUUUCUGUAGUGUAGUGGUUAUCGCAUUUGCCUAACACAUGACUGGUCCCUGGUUUGAAACCGGGCAGAAACA
rnacentral:tRNA from 1 species